GUUGAGAAGGGGAGAGAGAUGGCAGCAGUUGAGCAGAGAUGGCCGGGCUCCCCUCACUGUGUGGGGUGAGGCUUCAAGCACUGGACUGGGAGUCAGACCUGGAUCCGAGUCACAACCUGACACCAACUGGCUGAGGGUCUCAGAGCAAGUCAUGCCUUUUCUGGGUCUGGGGGCCUUCAUGUUAUUCCCUCCUGGCUAUGUUCUUCCCCUUUGCUCCUUGAGCCGAUCCCAGACUGAGUGCUGAAACUGCGGCCUUGAAACUUGGCUCGCUCCUCCCCCUGCCCACCCAGCCAGCUUUCAGAUGGAGACAGGAAGCUCCUCCCAAUUGCCUAUGCUGCAAC
rnacentral:lncRNA from 1 species